CUGAAGCUCUGCAGCGGCGGCUUCGAACGCGGCAGCGACACGUUGACCUUCUGAUGUCAGCGGAGUAUCUGGGAGACGAAUCACAGGAGGUCAGGUUGUGUGUCCGCUGCGACAGAAACACACACACAGGACACCAUGGCUCCCAGCAGCAGCAGCAGCACCGGCUUCUUCAUGACGGAUAAGCGGACAGUUUGACAAACCGGACCCAGGACGUUCUUCACGAGAAGGUGUUGUACAACAAACAAGGAACCAUGACAUUAGGCUGAUUGAUCCGCAAAACCAUUUUGAACAACACCAUUCAGAUCACACAUUAAAACACUUCCACGUGGAUCUAGACUGCCUAAUAGGAAACACAGUCAUACCUUAGAAGCUUAAGCUCCAGGUGAACCUCCCAACAAGCUACGCCCUGCCUCCCUUUCUCCAUGCAGUCAAUAACCUGCUUGUCAGACCAGCCUGCUCAGUGUUUAUUGUUUGCUGUCCAUUUUGUCCCCCACACCCCAACCAGUUUGCCAACCAAAGCUUUUUUCCCAUUACAGAGAGAGUUUUUUGUUGUUUUCCUGUCACCGAGCUUCCAGUCAAAGGUGACUGACUUGUUCCUUUUAAUGCAAAUUGGCCCUCCUUUCCCUCUCCCCUUUUUUUUUAACUGGAAUUGACGUCAACUGGCUGGUGUUAAGUUUUGUUUAAGUACAAAGACAUGCGAUGGCGUAGAUUAGAAUGCCAUCCAAAUGUACGCUUGUUUUGUAACUGAGUUUAAAAAGUAAAACCAAUGUAUUCAACAGAGUCACAGCACUUCCUGAGUGAUAUUUUGAAGAUUUGUUUUACAAUCGACC